rnacentral:lncRNA from 1 species
ACAAGAAGAACAGGAUUAUUCCAAGACACGUGCUUUUGGCAGUGAGGAACGAUGAGGAGUUGGGGAAAUUGCUUGCUGGAGUGACAAUUGCACAUGGUGGCGUGCUUCCAAACAUUAACCCUGUUUUGUUGCCUAAGAAGUCUGAGAGGGCUUCCAAGGAACCUAAAUCUCCAUCCAAGGCUACUAAAUCUCCUAAGAAGGCUUAAUUGACUUAUUAGUUUAUUGUUCUCUAUUUAGUGUGCACAAUGUAAAUCUGUGUUUAGGUUCUUUUUUCUAUCACCAUAAUUGUAGUUCUCAAAUCGUUGUUUAUUUUUUGCAUUUUCACUCAAUUAGUCGAAACAGCAAGUUCUCAGUAAGGGAUUAAUUUAAUUUUCUUAUAUUCGUAUAAUUGUAUCCUUUCUCAUUCUCUCUCUCAAUCGAGAUGUUGUGAAAUGUUACAUUGUUGAAUGCCUUUGCAAUCGUUUUUUUUUUUUUUUACUCCUGUUUGAAAACUAUUUAGAUGAGAGUUUCUCAGAAUUUGAUUUUAAUUUCAUCAUACUUCUUGUUUGGAGUUUGGACUGGUGUAUGUGUGAUGCAAUAAAGAAAUGGACGUAGAGAGUAUGUUACCUUAAUGCACUAUUGAAGGCAGUGGCAAGAGUGUAAUGUCAGGUUUGAAUGUCAAAUUGAGUCUCAGUUCUAGUGCAGGCUCUCCCCGUCUUGCUAUCCUAUAGACUUUAGAUCGACUGAAAGUCAAUUUGAAUGGACUGUUUCGUUGCUACUGUGUUUGACGUGGAUGUAAUCAGCAAGUUACAUAGCGUUGACUUGUAGCUUGAACGGUUAAAAAUUUUCAUCUUGAAAUUUUGUUGUUAUGAUAAGAUGGAAAGGCAGAAUAUUUACCUGGUUUCCACUUGAAAUUGCUUUGCCGAAUUUCUCUUUUUUGGUGCUUGUUUAAAUUUGUUGACUCUAGCUUUGCUAGUGUGGUGUCAACUUUUGUUGUGGUAAUACAGUGAGGUGUCAACUAGUAAAAUGAUAUCUUAAAAAUUACAUAAUUUAUCAGUUCAAUAAGUUUUUAUAAAAUAAAUCAAGUUUAUAAAAUUUGAAAUAAUUGAUAAAAAUUAGUUUAUAAUUGAUGGUUCCACUUUAUUUUAACCUAUAGGCCAUCACAAUACUCACUGCUCUUAAAUUUAAAUCCGAAAAUUAUGAAAAUGGAAAUGAAUUAAUACAAAUAACUAGUAUUUUAACAAGUGCUCAUGAUAAAUGUUUAUUUUUUAUAUAACCAAAAUUUAUAAUAAACUCACAUGACUAGUAUUUUACAUGACUUAAAUUUAAGUUAUAUCCGUAUUUAAGUUAUCAUAUAUAUCAUUUUUUAUUCCUAAGAAUAAAAAAUAAAUAUAAAAUAAUUUACAAUAAGUCACAUAACUUGUCUAACUAAUUGAAGUAAAUUCUCGUACUUUUUGUUGAACCAAUUUUAUCACCCACAAGUAAAAUGAAGUUUAAAAUUAUGUAUUUCCUAUGUUUUUGUUUUAUUUAUAUUUUAUUUUCAUCUUUAGUUCUAAACAAACACUUAUCAUUACGUGUCAACCAACAAAUUCGGUGAAUAUACUUUGCAAUAAUAAUUUUAUUAUAAAAUUAAUUAUUUUCAUUUUAUAAUUUUUUAAUUAUCAUUUUUUAAUUUUACAAUCACUCCAUGAUAUUAUUAGCAUGUUUGUUUUAUUAUUGCAAACAUCCAGAUUUUUCUUUUGUAAAAUUGAGUUUGUAAAUUAUUAAGUUUAUCUUAAAAUUCGUACACCACAUUUUAAAUGGAAAUUUAAACAUAACGUAUAUGUUAACUCGGUUAGUUAAGUAGUGUGUUUGAAUUGCUUAGGAGCAUGUUUGUUUUUUGUUUCACUUUGUGGGCAUGCAUUCCAAAGCAUAGUUUUGUGAAAACAACAUAUUCUUGAACGUUGGUUUAACAUUGUUUUUAUUUUUAAAAGAUUUGAAUUCUGAAAAUAUGUUUGAUUUGACUUCUUGUUUUUUAUUUUUAGGAAAUAAAAACACUGAAAAUUUAUUAUAUAUUAAAUUUUUGUCUUUUUUGUAUUUUUAUAUUUGCUUAAAAUUAUAUUUUUUUCACCGCGUUUUUAUUUUACGAAAUUCCUGUCUUCAACUGAAAAUACUGAAAAUGAGAUUUCAUUGUUUUCAUUUUCUGCUUGUUUCCUAUUCACUGAAAAUGUUUUCAAAAAUUCAACCAAACACAUCUUCAUCACUAUUUUAAGUUUUCAGUGAAAAUGAUAACAGAAAACAACCAAACCAAACACACCCUAAGUUUCUAAUGCAAAAACAAAAACACCGUAAAUAUUUUAAAAUCAGAGUUCAACUCUUCUUUCAAAUUAAAAAAUAAUUUGGUGGUGAUGAAAAUAAUUAAUUUUCAACCAAAUAUUAAUCCCAAGUUAAAGUUUAACGAGUUGAAUGUUUUUUUAAGACAACAUGUAUUAUCGUUUAGAGGAGUGAAAUACGAUUAUUAUCAAUAAUAAAAUUCUUUCUUUAAAUAUUUAAUAUAAUUACAUACGGAAUGAGUUUAUUAUCUAGUUUUGUGUAAUGAUCAUAUUAGUUUGAAUAUUUAGAAUUUUUUUAUACAAAAGUUUAAAUUUAGAUAAAAAUAUAUAACUUCAAAUUUGAUAGAUAUUAAUUUAUAACUUUUUUUUUAAAAUAUAAAGUUAAAUUUAUAAAGACAUGUUAACUUAAAAAUAAGUAAGGCCUAAAACAAAAUUUGAUAGAGACUUUUUUUAUUUUAAAUAAGAGAAUUGUAUGCGAGACUUUUUUGCUUGUAUAUGUAACCUUUUUUGUUUUAAAAAAUUAAUGAAUAAAUACUUUUUUAUUGAUAGAUUAAAGCUUAAGUUGUAAUCACUUUAUGCUUGGACUGCCCUACAUAAAGGUGAUAUUAAUAUAAAUCUAAAUUGAAUGAUUUUAAUAUGAAAAAUGCAUUGAUAUUAAGAUUGCUAUUGUUAACGCUUGGUAUGAUGUUGUCACUAUAUUUUGUACGGAUUAAAAAAAUAAUAAAUAGAUAAAAAAAUUAGAAAAUUAAGUUUUUAUUAUCAUUAAUUCAUUUAUUUAUUUUAUCGUCCACCAUUAAUAAUAUAAAAGAUAUCAUUAAAAAUAAUGAUUAAUGUUAUAUUGAAAAGUUAAAAUAAUAAUUAUUUUGAGAUAAUUUUUUUCAUUUAUAUGACCAUUAUAAUGAGAUGAAAGGAGUACUUUUAAUACACUGAUUUAUAUGUUAUUUUUUUUCCUAUUUGAAAUUAAAAUUUUAGGAUAAAAUGAAUUCAUAUUUAUUUGAUCAUUAAAGAAAAGAUGAGCAUCUUAUUAAUUCAAACCGUAAUAAAAUGUUUCUUGUUAGUAAAAAUUAAUGCAUAUAUUUUUUUACACAAUAUUUAAUGAAUAAAAUUUACUUUUAGACACUGAUUAAUAAAUAUAUUAUUUAUUCUUUUAUUUUCUUUCAAUUAAUAAAACAUGUUCAUUGCAUGUCUUAGUUUUAAAUGUUGUUAUCCUCACAUCUCAACUCAUUUUAAAAUGAAAAGAAAAGUGUGUGGAUUUUUUUGGUAAACAUAUAAGAAAAAAAUUACCAAAACAUACAACUCCUCCCAUUAUUUACCAUUACAUGUAUGCUUAUAAAUUUAGGAUUGGGAGACUUGAAUUUAUACUGUGUUUUUUAUUUUAUUUUUUUGCAAAGUUCGUUGAGAUUUUGGAUUCUCUCAACCCGAAUUCUCAACCUGAUUUUUAAUUUUUUUUUAUAAGAAUUAAUUUUUUAAAAGAUUUUUAAAAAUACAAAAUAAAGGAAUUUAAUAAAAUUAGUGUCUAUAAAGUGUCAUUAGUAGACAUGUGUCAUUAUGAUUAUUGGUCAUUAUAGGAAGAACCACCAUUAUGUGUGAAUUCAAUUAUGAGGAGAAGUAAAAAAGAUCGACCAAAAUCAAUAAAUUAAGGACUAAUAUGAAUGAGAGAGAAAUAGGUCAACUAAAAUAUUGUUCAAUUUACAAGCUAGUAGGUCAUUCAAAAAAUAGGUAUCCUUACUGUUUUGAAAGUUCUAAUCAAACAAAUUAACUUUUUUUAAUAUUAAUGUAUUUCAUUUCAGAUUAUAUAUAAAAUAAAAAAAAUCUUCAAUGAUAGUAUUUUUAACUAAUUAUUUUAAACUUUAUUAUCUUCUCUAAUAUUAUUAAUUUCCUUUAUUUACAUUUUUAAAAAUCUUUAAAAAAAAUUAAUUUUUCUAAAAAAAUAAAAAUAAAAAAUCACGUUGAGAAUUUGGGUCCGAGAGACGCGAAUUCUCAACGGAUUUUGCAAAAAAAAAAUUUAAAAACAGUGCAAAUUUAGACUCCCAACCCGAAUUUACCCCAUGAAAGUAAACAUGUAUAUGUAUUGAUAAAUAACAGGACAUGUAUAUGUAUUGAUAAAUAACAGGGGAGUAUCAUGUUUUGGUAAAAAAAAAAAAUUAUGUGAAAAAAAAAUCAAAGUGUGUGCCCUACAGUGGCAUCUUAUUGGCUGGUGCCGAAGGACACGGAUUGCCAAGCAAACAAUCGUUAGCCGUGGAUAAGUUCUGAUCAAAGCGUCCACGUUUUUCUGCGCUGGAUCCUCGUGAAGGUGUCCAAAGCUUUAUAACAUAGAACCGUGCCAACGCGUCUUCCCAUCGCUCUCACACCUGUGAUUAUUCCUCUUUUAACAAUCCACACCCAAAUUCUAGGGUUCCGAAAUGGACGCUGGCGGAAAGAUCAAGAAGGGCGCCGGAGGUAGAAAGGGCGGCGGCCCAAAGAAGAAGCCGGUUUCAAGGUCCGUCAAAGCCGGUCUCCAAUUCCCCGUCGGAAGAAUUGGCCGUUAUUUGAAGAAAGGAAGGUACGCUCAGCGUGUCGGUACCGGUGCUCCCGUAUACUUGGCUGCAGUUCUCGAAUACCUAGCUGCCGAGGUAACAUGACAUAACACUACAUCAAUUAAAUUAAUUUGCUUCAAUUAAUGUUGAUUGAUUACGGUUAAUUUUUGUUUUGCGAAAUUGAAAUGUGGGUAUGGAUUGUGAAGGUGCUUGAGUUGGCUGGGAAUGCCGCACGUGACAACAAGAAGAACAGGAUUAUUCCAAGACACGUGCUUUUGGCAGUGAGGAACGAUGAGGAGUUGGGGAAAUUGCUUGCUGGAGUGACAAUUGCACAUGGUGGCGUGCUUCCAAACAUUAACCCUGUUUUGUUGCCUAAGAAGACCGAGAGGGCUUCCAAGGAACCUAAAUCUCCAUCCAAGGCUACCAAAUCUCCUAAGAAAGCUUAAGUGUUUUUAUUUUAUUUUAUUUGAAUAUGUAAAUCAGUCUUUAGAUGCUUUUUAUGUGAAAGAAAAAAUUAUCUAUUGCAAACACUGUAAUUCCUAUCGUCUCGC